CGUAGGGUGCGAGCGUUAAUCGGAAUUACUGGGCGUAAAGCGUGCGCAGGCGGCUUCGCAAGUCAGACGUGAAAGCCCCGGGCUUAACCUGGGAAUGGCGUUUGAAACUACGGAGCUGGAGUGUGGCAGAGGGAGGUAGAAUUCCACGUGUAGCGGUGAAAUGCGUAGAUAUGUGGAGGAAUACCGAUGGCGAAGGCAGCCUCCUGGGCCAACACUGACGCUCAUGCACGAAAGCGUGGGAGCAAACAGGAUU
rnacentral:rRNA from 1 species